UACGGGGGGGGCAAGCGUUGUUCGGAAUUACUGGGCGUAAAGGGCUCGUAGGCGGCCAACUAAGUCAGACGUGAAAUCCCUCGGCUUAACCGGGGAACUGCGUCUGAUACUGGAUGGCUUGAGGUUGGGAGAGGGAUGCGGAAUUCCAGGUGUAGCGGUGAAAUGCGUAGAUAUCUGGAGGAACACCGGUGGCGAAGGCGGGUCUCUGG
rnacentral:rRNA from 1 species